CAAUUUUGAGAACUCUAGCCCACUUGCUCUGAUCUUUUUUGUUUUCUAAUUUUCUGUUUACUUACAGUAUUUUUCUUUCUUAUUUCUUUCCAGCAAUUUGAGGUGGAAUAAGUUGCAAGAUGUCAUUCCUCCUGAAAUAGGUGAACUAAAGAGUCUAACCCAUCUAUACUUGAGUUUCAAUAAUUUCAAAGGAGAAAUCCCCAAAGAAUUAGCUAAUCUUCCUCUGCUACGUUACCUCUAUCUACAUGAAAAUCGUUUUAUUGGGCGAAUUCCACCAGAAUUGGGCACUCUGCAACAACUCGGACAUUUGUACCUGGAUCAUAAUCAAUUUACUGGGAGAAUCCCGGAUGCAUUCUCUAAGCACACUUUCUUGAAAGAAAUGUAUAUUGAAGGAAAUGCUUUCCGGCCAGGUGUGAACCCUAUUGGCGUCCACAAUGUCCUCGAAGUUUCUGACACAGAGUUCUUGUUUUAGUCAAAGCUUCCACAUAUUAUUUACUCGUAGAAUUGUUUCUUUUUGUUCUUGCUAAAACUAGGGUGUUUCAGUUUGAAUUGGAAUGUAGUUCUAUAAAUAGGAUGUAUAUAAUGUACACUAGUGU